GAUGAAGAACGUAGCGAAAUGCGAUACUUGGUGUGAAUUGCAGAAUCCCGUGAACCAUCGAGUCUUUGAACGCAAGUUGCGCCCGAAGCCACUAGGCCGAGGGCACGCCUGCCUGGGCGUCACACGUCGUUCCCCCCCCAUCUACUCCUUCGGGAUUGCGGGGGGCGGAUGAUGGCCUCCCGUGCGCCUCGUCGCGCGGUUGGCAUAAAUACCAAGUCCUCGGCGACGCACGCCACGACAAUCGGUGGUUGCGAAACCUCGGUUGCCCGUCGUGUGCGGUCGUCGCGCAUCGAGGGCUCGAAAAAAUUGCCGGGCUCCGGCUCGGCUUUCAACGCGACCCCAGGUCAGGCGGGGUUACCCGCUGAAUUUAAGCAUAUCAAUAAGCGGAGGA
rnacentral:misc_RNA from 1 species